GAAAGAAAAUCUCAUUUACUAGGGAGGAAACGCAUUCAUAGUCUAAUUUUUAAAAAAAAUUCAAAAAAUUUAAUUUUUGUUGGGUAUUUUAGUAUAAAUUUUUUUUAUAUAUGUGAAUUUUUUAAAAAAUUUUUUAUUUUUACAAUAUUGAGAUUUAAAUAUUAGGUUAUUCUAGAUUUAGGGAUAUUUAUUAGUACUAACAAAAUUUGUGCCAGCAGUUGCGGUUAUACCAAUAGUACAUCUAAAAUUUUUUGGUUAUGAUUAAUUGAUUUUAAUAAAAAAAUUGAUAUUUGGAGGUGAAAUAUAAAUAUUAACUUUUUUGUUUAAUUUUUUGAGGUCAGUAAAUUAAUUAAUAGACUAGGAUUAGAUACCCUAUUAUUAGAACUUAAAUUUAUUACCAUAUGAUUAUUAGCUAUGUUCUUUAAAGUAAAAAAAUUUGGCGGUAUUCUAAUCUUUUUAGAGGAACCUGUUCUGUAAUUGAUGAUCCACGAUUAUAUUUACUUGAUUUUUUAAUUUACAUAUCGUUGUUUAAAACAUUUUUUUUGAAUAUGUUUUUUUAUUAUUUAAUAAUACAGUUCAGAUCAAGGUGUAGUUUAUAAUCAAGAAGAAAUGGGUUACAUUAAUUUUAAUUGGGGAUUUCAAUUUUUAUUUUUGGAUGAAUUUGGAUUUAAUAGUAAAUUUUAAUAUAUAUUAAUUUUGAUUUUAGCCCUAGAAUAUGUACAUAUCGCCCGUCGCUUUCAAUUAAGUUGAAAUAAGUCGUAACAAAGUAGAUUUACUGGAAAGUGAAUCUUGUUGACA
rnacentral:ncRNA from 1 species